AGUGAACGCUGGCGGUAGGCCUAACACAUGCCAGUCGAACGGCAGCACAGAAGAGCUUGCUCUUACGGGUGGCGAGUGGCGGACGGGUGAGGAAUACAUCGGAAUCUACUUUUUCGUGGGGGAUAACGGAGGGAAACUUACGCUAAUACCCCAUACGACCUACGGGUGAAAGCAGGGGAUCUUCGGACCUUGCGCGAUUGAAUGAGCCGAUGUCGGAUUAGCUAGUUGGCGGGGUAAAGGCCCACCAAGGCGACGAUCCGUAGCUGGUCUGAGAGGAUGAUCAGCCACACUGGAACUGAGACACGGUCCAGACUCCUACGGGAGGCAGCAGUGGGGAAUAUUGGACAAUGGGCGCAAGCCUGAUCCAGCCAUACCGCGUGGGUGAAGAAGGCCUUCGGGUUGUAAAGCCCUUUUGUUGGGAAAGAAAAGCAGCAGGUUAAUACCCCGCUGUUCUGACGGUACCCAAAGAAUAAGCACCGGCUAACUUCGUG
rnacentral:rRNA from 1 species